ACUAUUAUUUUUCUCUCUCUCCAUUGUUCAUCUUAGGUGCUACGUGGGGCUCAGCUCAUAGCGGUGGCAUCAGCUGAUGGGGGGGCCACAGCAGUAGAGGGCUCCCCCCUCCCCAAUGACAUCCAAGUGCAGUACGUCCAACUCGCGCCCGUCUCAGAUCACACAGCUGCCGUACAGGCUGCUGAGCUAAGCCCGGCCAUGCAGGCGGAGUUGGAGGUGAAAGAGGCCAUCCAGGGGGCCAUCCAGGGAGAAAACGGCGAAGUGGUCCAGAUCGUCACCUCCGUGGCCACCUGAGAGCCCGUCUGGUUCCUCACAUCUCAGAUCUCUGCUCCUCAGCAUGGCCUGACAAGUCUCAGCGGCCCAAACGUGCACACGGUCUGACAGACACUCAAGCCAGAAAGCUAUUAUAUAGACACUGAGGGACACGGAUGAAAUAGAAAAUAAUCAUUUUUCAGUUUUGUGUUUCGCCCUUCAAACUCUUCUGUUCAUUGCAAAACAGAUGUCGCAAUGUGGAAAUGUUUGCGGACUACUUGAAAAGACUAUGAUACUCAAAAAUUCAACAGUGGUCUGAAUGUGUUUUCAUCACCAGAAAAACCUGGCCCACAACUGAAUACACAGUGGUAUUAUUGUCUGUCCAGGGAGGAUGCUACUUAUGCAGAACAUCACCCCGCCACUUCAUCAGCACACACACUUACAUCAACUUUGGAAAAUAUUGGAGUUAUUUGGAGUUAAGCUGCUUGGCUACAUCUGAGACACUCGUGAGGUUUUUGUAAAACCUCUGAAUCCCAAGUCAAACAACCAGUACUGUGCUCCUUUUCUCGUCAUUUCUUGCCACAGUGGACUGCAAUGGAAAGUAGAUUUAACCGAGCUCAACUUCUCUUGGUUAUGAUUCAUUUGGUUUCCUGUCACUCCAUGAUUCAAUCCAUACUUUUAUCUGCCGGCUGAGAGCCCUGCCUUCCCUUACUUUGCUCUUCUUGUUUUCAUAAAGCUUAAGCCGCACAGUUCUGUUUGUUUGUUUCAUUUGCAUAAUUGUAACAUGCUAAAGGUUUUUUGGGAGCUUUAAUUUUGGAGGAAGGAGACUAUGAAAUAGAAGAGAUGGUGCCAGUAGACAGUACAAGAUGCUUGUAGAAAACCAAGGAAACCUUGAACUUGUUUAUUUCCCCUGUUUUGCCUCUGCGAAAGAUACAUUCAUGUGAAUAAAACGUGCUUGUGGUUGCCAUAAAAGUGUGUUUUUAUUUUG